rnacentral:lncRNA from 1 species
GGUAUUUCAUUUUCAAUGAGCCAUUUCAUUUCAUAUUUUAACAGAAAUGAUCCGAACGUAGCAAUUGUUUUAAAAAAUUUCCAAAAAAAUAUACUAAAUCAAUAAAACAUACUCCAUCUGGAGAUACAAGAGUGAGAGAUACAUCUUUACUCACAUUAGAUCUGUGAGUUCCGUCAAAUGGAAAUACAAUAUCAAUUGGUACAUAUAUUUUUAUUUUUUAAAAUAGAUUAAAUGGUUAAAAUAUAAAUGGUUAUUUUUAUAUAUUAUUCAGACCGACACACUAUAGAAACCCCAUAACCAACUUAAGCCAGGUUUGGACUAUUUGAUUUAGAACCAAAAUCUUCUGUACCAAUUCCCUACCCUAUACCACGAAUGAAAACUUGCCACCUAAUAAAAACUAUUUAACGCCGUUCCGUUAUCUUGUCAAGGCGUCAAAAGACACAAGUGGCGAAAUGGAAAUGCUCUUCUUGUUUACUUUACCAUUUGUUCUAACAGAACCCCUUUUUUAUUUGCUUACAAAAGAGCCUUCAUCACUCACUUUCUUGUACCCAUAUGUCGACACAUCAUAUAAACAAAACAACACUCUAAUUUGGGAUGUGAGAUUGUAAUAAUACACUGUUAAUCCUCUAAUCUGUUGUAAUACUAAAAAUCGUGGGACUGUGCUACCAAGUUGUCAAUUCAUUAUAUUGGAGGUGAAGUUUAUUUGCUCUACCCACGCUAACCCUAAUUCAUCCAGAUGACCCAUUUUAACACAUCAAAUGUGCUAUAAGCAAAACUAGAAGAAAAAGGUAAGAAAAGUAAGAACGAUGAGUAGAAUAAAACCCGGUAAUAUUCAACACAUAAAAGGAUGAAAAUAGUAACUCCCCUACUAUAUAAAUAAAUCAUCACUCGGUGAAACAAUACAAUAAAUAAUUUCUGUAUACAAAAUUAAAUCCAUGGGAAAAUAAAUAAUAUAAUUCUCUUCACUUAGAAACCUAGUGCUUCAAUACGGCAAGCAUAGACAACAAAAGAGAAGCGCCAAUCAUAGCAACAGAGCUAGAAACAGAUCCAGCAGCUCCUGCAUCAGGAGACGGCGCCGGAGAAGAAGCCGGUGAGACAUCACGAGCUGCGGCCGCAAUAGAAAACAGAACAACGACGAGAACAACGGCAAGAGCCUUGAAUGUAGAAACUGGUGCCAUAUCUUCAAUUAAUAAAGAGAAAGAAAAAAAUUAUUCAGAGAGAGAUAGAGAGUCUGAGAAGUUAAGAAAACGAGAGAAGGUUGAAAAGUGUGAGGGUAUGAAAUGAGAGAAAGGAGAAGAGGAUAUUUAUAGCAUGAUGAGGUGGGGAGUGGGGCCCAGAGAAAACGUGGACAGCUGGCAAUGUGGUAAAGAAAAUGUGUUGUUAGGUUUGGGAUUCCGUCGGCGCGUGAAGAGUGUAGAAAAGUGUGUUGUUAAAUAGCUGUAUUUUUUAAGUUUUCGGCCGUUACACA